rnacentral:rRNA from 1 species
UACGAAGGGGGCUAGCGUUGCUCGGAAUCACUGGGCGUAAAGGGCGCGUAGGCGGUUCUUUAAGUCGGGGGUGAAAGCCCAGGGCUCAACCCUAGAAUUGCCUUCGAUACUGGAGAUCUUGAGACCGGAAGAGGUAAGUGGAACUGCGAGUGUAGAGGUGAAAUUCGUAGAUAUUCGCAAGAACACCAGUGGCGAAGGCGGCUUACUGGACCGGUUCUGACGCUGAGGCGCGAAAGCGUGGGGAGCAAACAGG